AUGGUGAUGAUGAAGAUGAAGACCACUGUGAGGAAUAUAAACAGUGAUGGCGACAACACUGGAAAGUUCCCGUGGCAGACAACAUGGACGAAGUCCGACGGCGACGAGCUCGAUGUCCGGGCUGCAGACACGCUCUUUCACACAGACGUGCCCGGCGUUACACCACCUGUUGUUUAUGAGCACGGACAGUCCCCCUCCUUUCUUCAUGCCGGUCGCGGUGGUGUCUCUGUCGGCUCGAACCGUCUGGAAGCCGGGCAUGGUGACGUUGGAGUCCGGUAUCUGCUCGAUGAUUGCAGGGAUGUAGAGUUUAAAGCUCCUCUUCUUCAUCCUCCGUUUAACCCCCGCUCUGCAGCCUCACCGUCUCCUCAGCUCCUCCGGUAUGGAGGGUCUCUCUCCAGUCAGGAUGCUAGGGGGCCUCAGGGCGAUCAUCUGGUCGCGGGUGUAAACAGUGCGACUCGCCGUCGCCAUGGAGACCCGUGCAAACAAAAAAUAAAAAGUGCUCAAAAACGCCAAAAAAGUAUUUAGGCGACGUGAACAAAGUAGUAAGAAAGUAAGAAAACAAUUAAAAAUAGCUAAAAACACACUGAAAACACACAAACUACAUCAAUGAUACACACAUCAAACACACUUGUUUGUUAUAUCAUUUUAGAUUCACUAUUAAAAUAUUUGGGACCACCUGCAGCUGAAUCCUCAGACCAGGAACAGCCAUGCACCUCAGCUGCUCUGUUUCCUCAGGUGAGUUUAAUGUGUCAGUGAAUGUUUGUGAUGAUAAAAAUGUUUUGACUUACGUGAAAAAGACAAUAUGUUGUGCCAUGUCUCAUCCAGUCAAUGUAUUUGCUCUUGUGUGUUCUCUCUAUGUUUAUGGACCUAGAGCCAUCAGAAGAGACACAACAAGAGCAUGCUGCUCUUCCUGCCAACCUCACCCGGCCUCUAACCACUGAGCCUGGAUGACUUUGCUGCAAGGAAGGCCAGAAAGAUUGCAUUGUGAAUGGAGUGUGAUAUUAGUGUGAAGUAGAAUAUAUUAUUCUAUUCACUUGGGGUGAAUUUAAACCUUAUUUGUUUAUUUUGUAUAUUAUAUUUUGAUUAAUAGGUUAUAUGAAUCACAUUUUACAGUAUCUAAUUUUGCAUACAAUGUUUUAUUGUUAGUUAAAUUUUUUGUUUUGAUUCUUUAGUGUGCACUUUUUGUUCUCAGAUGUUGCACUACUGUUAAAAAUAUGUUUAAAACUUUAUUUUUGGUAUAUUUAUUAUCAAACAGGUUUAUUCUUUCGCACAUAUUGUUAUAUUGUUUGUAUUAUUAUUGUUUAAAUAAAUG
rnacentral:lncRNA from 15 species